GUGAGAGGAGGUCCCAGCUCUUGCUCCUGCCUCAGCCUCUCUGACUUCCUUCAGAGGAUCCCUUGGGGCCUCUUUCUUGAUUCUGUUGAUAAGCAGUAGAGGGUGGGGUCUUGGGAGGCUGUAUGUGUUUUAGGCAGCACCUCACAACCACACAAGUUCAGAAGAGCCUGCAGUUCUUGCUGCCCGCAUCUGAUUUUCAUCCAAGACAAGGCAGAACUUUCCUCCUCCCUCCCCUCCACCAAAAUGAAAGGAAACCAACCAAGGGCCACUCAAAACUCAGGCUUUGGCUGAUGGAGGAAGCGAAGAGGGAGCCACACCUACAGCAUGUGAAAAACUCUGACCUCUUCCCUCUCUGACCCAAGAGCCUUGCAGGAGAUGGGCUCGGAGCUCACGAUGAAUGCCAACCUGGCCGGGGGUAGACAGGGGGCUGAGGGCUGGUAUCCUGGGCUGGAGUCCCCUUCUGGGGCCGCAAGCCUGACUUUGGGAUCAGGUGCACAUCCCUGACCUC
rnacentral:lncRNA from 1 species